GAUGAACGCUGGCGGCGUGCCUAAUACAUGCAAGUCGAGCGAACAGAUGAGGAGCUUGCUCCUCUGACGUUAGCGGCGGACGGGUGAGUAACACGUGGAUAACCUACCUAUAAGACUGGGAUAACUUCGGGAAACCGGAGCUAAUACCGGAUAAUAUAUUGAACCGCAUGGUUCAAUAGUGAAAGACGGUUUUGCUGUCACUUAUAGAUGGAUCCGCGCCGCAUUAGCUAGUUGGUAAGUUAACGGCUUACCAAGGCAACGAUGCGUAGCCGACCUGAGAGGGUGAUCGGCCACACUGGAACGGAGACACGGUCCAGACUCCUACGGGAGGCAGCAGUAGGGAAUCGUCCGCAAUGGGCGAAAGCAUGACGGAGCAACGCCGCGUGAGUGAUGAAGGUCCUCGGAUCGUAAAACUCUGUUAUUAGGGAAGAACAAAUGUGUAAGUAACUAUGCACGUCUUGACGGUACCUAAUCAGAAAGCCACGGCUAACUACGUG
rnacentral:rRNA from 1 species